rnacentral:rRNA from 1 species
AUUGAACGCUGGCGGCAGGCCUAACACAUGCAAGUCGAGCGGACUGAGGUAGCUUGCUACCAAGGUUAGCGGCGGACGGGUGGGUAACGCGUAGGAAUCUACCUGGUAAUGGGGGAUAACGUUCCGAAAGGAACGCUAAUACCGCAUACGCGCUAAGGGGGAAAGUGGGGGACCUUCGGGCCUCACGUUAUCAGAUGAGCCUGCGUAGGAUUAGCUAGUUGGUAGGGUAAAGGCCUACCAAGGCGACGAUCCUUAGCUGGCCUGAGAGGAUGAUCAGUCACACUGGAACUGAGACACGGUCCAGACUCCUACGGGAGGCAGCAGUGGGGAAUAUUGGACAAUGGGGGCAACCCUGAUCCAGCCAUGCCGCGUGUGUGAAGAAGGCCUUCGGGUUGUAAAGCACUUUCGGUCAGAAAGAAGGGUGUCAAAUUAAUACUUUGGCAUUUUGACGGUACUGACAUAAGAAGCACCGGCUAACUCCGUGCCAGCAGCCGCCGUAA